AUGUUUCCGGGCACGAACCAGACCGCGGCGCACGGGCCAGCGCGCGGCGUCCACUACGACCAAGGGCAGGAAUACGCCGUCAAGCCACCCAAGCACGACUUUCCGCGCUUCGAUGGCGACGCGCCCAGCCUCUGGAUCGACCGGUGCCUCGCCUACUUCGACCUGUACCGCAUUCCGCCGCACACAUGGGUCACCACGGCGUCGCUCUACAUCGAGGGCCAUGCCGCACACUGGCUGCAAGCGUUUCGCCAUGGCCAUCGGUCCUCUACUUGGGAGGAGUUCACAACGGCGUUGAUCAGUGAAUUUGGUCCAAACGAAUUCGAGGUGGAAAUGCAUAAACUGCUGCAGCUUCGUCAGAGCGGCAGCGUGGCAGAAUAUCGGACAGAAUUUGAAGCUCUCAUGUAUCAUUUGCUCGCCCUCGACGCGACUCUCAACCCGAAGAUCUUCGUCACGCAGUUCCUGCUCGGAUUGCGUGAUGAUUUGCGGUCUGCAGUUCGCCUUCAGGAACCUUCGAGCAUCACACGUGCGGUUGUCCUGGCCAGGAUAAUGGAGGAAGAAGCCGGAGUGCAACGAUCGCGCCCGCGCAUUGCUCCAGCGGGUCACCCGCUGCCUCCCCCGCUACCACCACAAUGA
rnacentral:rRNA from 1 species